UUUUAUGGGUGGGUAUUUUGGGGAGCCGAAAGGCUCGCCGGACUUUGUCCCGGUCUGCUAACCCGAUCUAUCCGCCCGCCCCG
rnacentral:antisense_RNA from 1 species